rnacentral:pre_miRNA from 1 species
UUCCUCCCCGAGACGGGAACCGAGCUGGUUUCUUCUACGGUGAUAAUUCCCUGAUGUGUCUAUCACCGGGAGUAAUUGGCUUGGGUCCCGUCUCGGACC